rnacentral:rRNA from 1 species
CCCUUAGAUGUUCUGGGCCGCACGCGCGCUACACUGACGAAUGCAACGAGCUUAUAACCUUGGCCGAAAGGUCUGGGUAAUCUCCAAAUUUCGUCGUGAUGGGGAUAGAUUAUUGCAAUUAUUAAUCUUCAACGAGGAAUGCCUAGUAAGCGCAAGUCAUCAGCUUGCGUUGAUUACGUCCCUGCCCUUUGUACACACCGCCCGUCGCUACUACCGAUUGAACGUUUUAGUGAGGUAUUUGGACUGGACCUUCGGAGGUUCGCGCCUCCGUUGCUGUUCGGGAAGACUCCCAAACUUGAGCGUUUAGAGGAAGUAAAAGUCGUAACA